AAGUCGUAACAAGGUAACCGUAGGUGAACCUGCGGUUGGAUCAUUAACAAAUUGUAAGAAUAGUGUUUGGUCUCUAACGAGACCCUCACUAGUCUCAACAUUAUGUGAAUCGUUUAUUGUCUCUUGGUAGGUUCUUUAAUAUUGCAUUUUUGAUUUCGAUCUUAAGUGCGAUCCCUACCAAAUCUAAACUUGAACUUUUAUGUAAAUAUAACAUGUCUUGAAUUUAAAUUUAUCUUAAUUUAAAACAACUUUUGACAACGGAUCUCUAGGCUCUC
rnacentral:misc_RNA from 1 species